UGCCUGCCAGUGACCAUGUGUUCAACGGCCGCGGUAUUCUGACCGCGCGAAGGUAGCGUAAUCACUUGUUUUUUAAAUAAAGACUAGUAUGAACGGCCGCACGAGGACCUAACUGUCUCCUUUGUCCAAUCAGUGAAACUGAUCUCCUCGUGCAGAAGCGAGGAUUCUGUCAUAAGACGAGAAGACCCUAUGGAGCUUCAAACUUUUAUUAAUUAUCUUCUCCAUCUCUCCAAGGAAUUAACUACUAAUUUGAUUAUCUUAAUAAAAGUUUUAGGUUGGGGCGACCAUGGAGAAAAAAAAAUCCUCCCUGAUGACAACCUAACUAAGAGCCACAGCUCCCAGUAUUAAGACACUUAACUACUAUUGACCCAUUUUAUGAUCAACGAACCAAGUUACCCUAGGGAUAACAGCGCAAUCCAUUUCAAGAGUCCCUAUCGACAAAUGGGUUUACGACCUCGAUGUUGGAUCAGGGCAUCCAAGUGGUGCAACCGCUACUAAAGGUUCGUUUGUUCAACGAUUAAAGCCCUACGUGAUCG
rnacentral:rRNA from 1 species